rnacentral:rRNA from 1 species
AGAGUUUGAUCCUGGCUCAGAGCGAACGUUAGCGGCGCGCUUAACACAUGCAAGUCGAACGAGAAAGGGACUUCGGUCCCCGGUAAAGUGGCGCACGGGUGCGUAACACGUAGGCAAUCUUCCCUCAGGCGGGGGAUAACUACCCGAAAGGGUAGCUAAUACCGCGUAAGACCACGGUCUCCACGGAGACAGCGGUCAAAGGAGGCCUCUUCAUGAAAGCUUCCGCCAGAGGAUGAGCCUGCGGCCCAUCAGCUAGUUGGCAGGGUAACGGCCUACCAAGGCGAAGACGGGUAGCCGGUCUGAGAGGAUGAUCGGCCACACUGGCACUGAAACACGGGCCAGACUCCUACGGGAGGCAGCAGUGGGGAAUCUUGGACAAUGGGCGAAAGCCUGAUCCAGCGACGCCGCGUGGGUGAUGAAGGCCUUCGGGUUGUAAAGCCCUGUUGAGGGGAAAGAAAACGUCGGGCGCGAACAGCUCCCGACCUUGACGGUACCCCUCCAGAAAGCACCGGCUAACUCUGUGCCAGCAGCCGCGGUAAGACAGAGGGUGCAAACGUUGCUCGGAAUUACUGGGCGUAAAGCGCGUGUAGGCGGGCCAACAAGUCAGAUGUGAAAUCCCUGAGCUCAACUCAGGAACUGCAUUUGAAACUGCUGGCCUUGAGUGGUGGAGAGGGAAGCGGAAUUCCUGGUGUAGAGGUGAAAUUCGUAGAUAUCAGGAGGAACACCGGUGGCGAAGGCGACUUCCUGGACACCAACUGACGCUGAGACGCGAAAGCGUGGGGAGCAAACAGGAUUAGAUACCCUGGUAGUCCACGCCGUAAACGAUGGACACUAGGUGUCGCGGGUUUUGACCCCCGCGGUGCCGUAGCUAACGCGUUAAGUGUCCCGCCUGGGGAGUACGGCCGCAAGGCUAAAACUCAAAGGAUUG